rnacentral:rRNA from 1 species
CCUACGGGAGGCAGCAGUGAGGAAUAUUGGUCAAUGGGCUUACGCCUGAACCAGCCAAGUCGCGUGAGGGAAGACUGCCCUAUGGGUGGUAAACCUCUUGUGUCAGGGAGAAACGCCGGCUACGUGUAGACGGACUGAGAGAACCUGAAGAAAAAGCAUCGGCUAACUACGUGCCAGCAGCCGCGGUAAUACGGAGGAUGCGAGCGGUAUCCGGAUUUAUUGGGGUUAAAGGGUGCAUAGGCGGAAUGCCAAGUCAGCGGUAAAAUCGGGGGGCUCAAAAGCGCUCCGCCGUUGAAACUGGCGUUCUUGAGUGGGCGAGAAGUAUGCGGAAUGCGUGGUGUAGCGGUGAAAUGCAUAGAUAUCACGCAGAACUCCGAUUGCGAAGGCAGCAUACCGGCGCCCAACUGACGCUGAAGCACGAAAGCGUGGGUAUCGAACAGGAUUAGAUACCCUUGUAGUC